GGCUGAAGUGAGUUAGGUGUCCAGCCGUGUCUGCUUUCUCAGUGUUCCGCUUGCCUGUUGCAAGAUUGUUCUAAUGUUAAUUACACUAGUAAAAUGGCUCAGUCCUUGUGGUGUUGCAGUUUUCACAUAAUUAAUACUUUUAUUCUUAUUAAAAUAGAGUACUGUACAAGAACCUAGUAUAAUUAUAUCUUGAAAUUAUUUUGUAUAAGAAUAUAUUUAGAAAAGUGGUUUCUGAGCCACUGACCUAUUCUUGGUAAACUUUUAUGUAAAAAAGAAUAAACAACCAAAAAAAAACCCAAAAUGCCAGCUUAUUCUUGAGUGUACAAGUCUUUUGUGAAGAAUUCCAAUUAUUUUUUGACCAGAGCACAUUGCAGUUGGAGAUGUCCUAAACGUCUGGGUAGUCUACCAUUGCACAGGAAAUUGCUUUAGGCCUUCAUGUUGAAACAUACGUCACUUGGACAACUGAAAUUCAAAAUGUUGACAGCUGAUCAUAUCGACUUCUAAUAAAAUAAAUGUGUAAGUACAUUAACAUUUGUUACUGUCUUAGGCAAGUGAGUGCUGUCUAGCCAAUGUUGUGAGUACAUCAUUGUGUCAUUGGCAUUUUAUGAAAGCGUUGCUUUUUCAGUUGACCUUAGGUGUGUAUCGUGGAAUGCCGAGGGUUAUAUAAGGUGACUUUAAAUACUAGGAUUUUUAGAUAACAUUCACCCUUUUAUGGACUUCCAAACAAUCUCAGAUUGUUAGCUGAGUAUCACAUUUCCAAACCAUAUGCACAAAACAAAACAAACAACGUACAGUAGAUAAAUAUGCCGACCAAAACUAGUGGUGUGGGGAUGCUGUUAUUUUAAAUACUGUAGUAACCAGGGGAGGUGGGAUUAUUGUUUUAACUGAGUUCAUUAAAGGUGAGUGGAUUAGAAGUCAGAAAUAUGCUGAUGCCCUUGAUGUCGGCAGUUUGGUUUAGUCUUCAUUCAUUUUGAAAUUAGCCUGCAAGUCAAACUCCCCUAAUACCUUACUACAUGAAAAGCCUUUUAGAGCUUGUAAAAUACAUAGUUGUUUCAAAAAAGGAAAAGAAAACUGGACUAUGUCUGCUGGUUGCUUUGAAAUGAGCUGAGUUCUGAGAGAAAGAGAGAAAUUAGACAAACGGCAUGUUUUAGAACUCAGAUAAGAGCACCGUGGGUGGGGUCCACAAGUCGGUAUUUCCACACCAUGAACACAGUUGUUUGUGUUCUCCAGUAAAAUAUUUCACAAGUUCGUGCUUCUGAGUUCCAGAGUACUUCCUAGAGGUGGACAUUGUACAGCUCUGAGAAGCACACAGAAUACAGUUCCAUCUUGGCUUAUUUCAGAAUAUAAAAGGCUGGAAAUUUAUUAUUAUUUUUCCUAACAUUUUUUUCAAGUCAAAAAGUUUGUAUUAAAGUUGCUGCAUUAGAAGGCCACAGCAAUCAUCUUGUUGGAUUGGAUGUUUCUCAUGAGCAGGAUUUAAAAGAAAUUUAAUUUACUCUAAAAUGUAGAGAAAACCAUAACACUUGGCAAAAACUGAGUUUAUUAUCUAACUACAGAAAUUAUAAUUCCUAGUUAUCCUUAAGAAAAUGUUAAAGGUCUUACAAUUCAUCACAUUUAGAUGAAUGUGUUUUACAUAUGAAGGUUAAUUUUAAUUAAGUCAAAAUCAGUUUUGAAAGCCACAUGCUAAGAGUUGGUUAUUUGGCUCCUCAACCAAAAUUUAAGGCCAUAGGUGAAUUUUAUAUACAAGGUCUCUUUAAAUUUUGCUUGUUGCCUGAUCACAUGUAAUGACUUUUUUCCGAGGAGUACGCAGGAAACAGCAAUCAGAAUGCAGUUUUAUAACAAUUCUUUUAGUGUUACUACAUUGAUGUUUUCACUGAGAUGCAAUAGACUAGGUGCCAAAGCAGAGCAUUAAGGCCGUCUGCGUCCUAAGGGAGGGAACAUGAGUAAUGUGUAAUGUGUUGCUGGUGGAAUUGGGCUGCUUCAGCCUCCCUGGUCUGCUAUACCCACCAGGUGUGCAGCACUUGCUUGUCUGGUGUGAUAUGCACUGAACCCCACUCGGUUACCCUUGUCUGGAACCCACAAACAAGCACUGUAGUCAGCGUUACAUAUGCAGGGUUGCUAAAAACACCCCCGCCCCUGGAGUUUAAAUCUCCAGGAAUAACUAUCUGAAUCUACAAACAAAAGAGCAAGUCAGUUAUUCUUCAAUCUUGUCCCUUAAGCAAAAAACUAAAGCACUCUACUCCAGAAAAGAUUUGGUUACCUGUUUUGCCUGCCUUAAAAAUCAGACAUAAAAGGACCUUGAAAUCUUCACCUGUGGUCAAUAAGAAUCACUUUAAAUUGCAGUAAUGACAUCACUUAAUAGAUAAAAAUGUCCCUUUCUCUAAAUUAGAAAUACUAAAGGUUCAUUGAUGAGAUUACAUUAAACCUGAGGUCUGGGUGACUAGAAUUAUGUCUUUGACAGCUUUUAAAACUCCUUACUCACUAGACAUAUGCCCAUACUAAUAUGCCACAUUGUACAAAUGUAGUGAGUUAGCACGAAUGUUCAUUUAAACUUGAGUCCUUAGGAUAAAAGAGCAAGUGUGUGAUUUGCUAUUGUGAGCUGUUCAGCUUUAUUGACUGUAUAAAUUAAAGUGCCUCCUUGCUGAAGUGCAUCUCUGUUUUGGGUUUCCGUAACAAGUCUCCAGUUAUCUGUACUUGUCUCAUAAAUGGUUUCAUAUCUAUAAAUGGGCACUUACAAGGUAAAAUAAUCUUUUUUAAAAAGAGUUUUGUAAGACUAUAGGUAUCACCAAAGACAUUUUACUGUUAGUAACCAUGUUAGAUAGAGACAGUUUGGGCAGUCCAGACGAUGGAAGCUGUUACAUUGUAACCUGAUUGUACAUAGGCAAUAGGAACCUUGAUUGGUUACUAAACUAUUACAGUGAAGAAGGCACUAGAGUGAGUUUUCUUGGAACAGUCAAAUGUGUUUCUUGCUACAGUGCGCAUGUCUCCCUUCAGAUACCUUCACUGGUUUGCUUUGGUUUGGUUUUUUGUUUGUUCAUUUUCAGCACCGUCUGGCGGGUCUUAGGAAAUCCUCAAAUAUGAGAAAAAUAAACAAUACAAAUAUCCUCCCCAUGAAAAAUGGGAGAAAUACAAACAUACU
rnacentral:lncRNA from 1 species